rnacentral:rRNA from 1 species
UACGUAGGCAGCGAGCGUUGUUCUGAAUUACUGGGCGUAAAGAGUGUGUAGGCGGUGUUCCCAGUCUGUUGUGAAAUCUCCCGGCUUAACUGGGAGGGUGCAGCGGAAACUAGAAUGCUAGAGGGUGGGAGAGGUAAGCGGAAUUCCUGGUGUAGCGGUGAAAUGCGUAGAUAUCAGGAGGAACACCUGUGGUGUAGACAGCUUACUGGACCACUUCUGACGCUGAGACACGAAAGCGUGGGUAGCAAACAGG